GAAAUAACGAACAGCUGCUCUGGCUGAUCAAAUGCAGAAGCAAAGUUGAGGUACUAAUCUCUCAUAAAAGGACUUUAUUGCAUCUGAAUAAAAGUCAAGGCUUGCUAACCAGAAGAAGGAGAAUGCACAAGGAACACACAAGAAAAUGGUUUGGAAAAGAAGACAAAUAUUUAGAAGCCACAAGAACCUAUGAACUUGUCCUGUCUGGACUCCACGCUAAAGGAACACAUUUAUCCAAGAAGGAAAGGUAUGCGUCUGUUUGAGGCUUGAGCUGUAUAAACUUGGAUCAAGAGAGGUCCUGCCCAUAAUCCAAGUCAG
rnacentral:lncRNA from 1 species